AUUUAUUUAAUAUAAAAAGUAUAUCUGACUUCCAAUCAGAAUGUCUGAACACUUCAGAAUAAGUA
rnacentral:tRNA from 1 species